UUUGAUUUGAGAGGAAUAUGUCAGAAUUAUUGGUGUAAAGAUGAAAUUUGCUAAUACUAAUAGGACUGAUAACGGCGAAGGCAAACCUCUAUGUACAUGUAUUUUGCUUUGUCGGCGUAAAGACAAAAACAUUAAUACUAUAACUGACGUUGAGGGACGAAGGCUCAGAGAGUGAAGAGGAUUAGAUACCCCCGUAGCCUGGGCAGACAAUGAUGAGUGCCAUAGGUUGGCUUUAGGCCGAACUAUAAAUGAAAGUGCAAGCACUCCACCUCAAGAGUAAUGUGGCAACGCAGGAACUGAAAUCAUUAGACCGUUUCUGAAACCAGUAGUGAAGUAUGUUAUUUAAUUCGAUGAUCCUCGAAUAACCUUACCACAAUUUGAAUGAUCUACAAGAUAAUACACAAAUUUGGAAAUUAGUCCAAAGAAAGGAAAUGUUUGUAGACCACAUGCGUUGCAUGGCUGUCUUCAGUUAAUGUCGUGAGAUUUGGUUAGGUCCAUUAAAUUAACGUAAACCCUUGCUUUAUUUAAUAAUAUAAAGCUGCUCUCCGCUGAUAAUUGGAUGUGAUAAUAGGGACUAAGACAAGUCAUCAUGGCCUUAAUAUUGUGGGCUAUAGACGUGCCACAUGUGCCUUUACAAAGGGAUGCAAUAAUGCGAAUUGGAGCUAAUCCCCUAAAAGAGGAUAAAGUAUGGAUUGUAGUCUGAAAUUCGACUCCAUGAAAAAGGAAUUACUAGUAAUCGUGAGUAAUCACAUCACGGUGAAUUUUAUCUCAGAUAGGUACUAACCACUCGUCAGGCGCUGAAAGGAGUAUGUGCAAUAAGUUUGGUGG
rnacentral:rRNA from 1 species